UGUGUGAGACAACAAGUGGUCUGCCUCUCCUUAUAAACAUCAAGCAUCUUUAAAAGUGCAGGAGAAACACACUGGUCUCUAAUCCCUGAUCACCUCCACCAGUAACCAUGAUGAUCCUGAGCACCACCGCUCUCGCUGGACUCCUCCUCACUCUCUCGGGGUUUGAGGCCAUAGUGCAUUUGACCCAGGAGAAGAUCAUGAACGUGAACACAGGACAAGAUGUAAAGAUUCUCUGCAGGAGAGAUGAUAGUGGUAGCUGGGGCAUUUCAUGGUACCAGCAGAAAGCUGGAGAUACUCCAAAGUUCUUACUAGUUGAUAGCUACAGAGCCAGUGGUCUGUCCAGCAGAUUCACAUACACAGACAAUGGUGUGGACGAGUACCUGAACAUCGCCCGAGUGGAAGCUGAGGACGAAGCGGUGUAUUACUGCGGAUGCAUCAUUUGUCAAAGCCAUGGCAGCAUCGGCGGAGGCACCGAGUUGAGGAUCGCUCGUCCGUCGUCUCCUCCGUCCCUGCUCCUGCUGGCUCCUGCUUCUCCGCUCUCUGAGGGUGAUGUCAGUGUGGUGUGUGUGGCUCAGGGCUUUUACCCUGACAGUGUCACCGUGUCCUGGUCUGAGGACAGCAGCGGCGUGACGGGGGACGAGGUGCAGACGGCUCCGUAUCAGCGUCAGGCCGACGGCACCUUCUCCCAGACCAGCGUCCUGAAGCUCGGUAAGCAGCGCUGGAGCUCCGGGAAAACCUACACGUGCCGCCUGAGCCACCCGGCGCUUUCCACACCGCUGAGCCAGAGCACCAGCCUGAACCAGUGCAUGUAGAGAGAUCACAGAGCUGGUGCACCUCUCAUGUGUUGCAUAAAGAGAGAAAUAUAUAUAACGCACCUCAGUGAACACAACUUGUCUUUAAUAAUGAGUGUGCUGUCCAUUUAAACAAGUUCUUCUGUUAUUGUGAAAUGAGUCUUGUGGAGCUCUACUUUGUUGCUUACUCUAGUAAAUAAAGCAUUUAAAAUUUUCAAAUGAAACUACAGAAUCUAUUCUAAAUGUUUUGCAGGGUUUGUUCCCUUUUUUUCAAAUUAUAAAUAAAAGUUUCGUUUUCAGUUUUCAGUUUUCUUUUCACAUGAGAUCUGAUUUGCAUAUGGUUGCUCAUCAGUGCAUGAAGAAAACAAGAAAGCCUUAUUUGGACAGAGAAUUAACAAUGCAAUAAGGACAUUUAAUCAAGAGUUUAUGAUAAAAUUAUGCUGUAAUGCAACAACUGUUUGUGCAGUAGAGUU